rnacentral:rRNA from 1 species
AGCUCCAAUAGCGUAUAUUAAAGUUGUUGCAGUUAAAAAGCUCGUAGUUGGAUUUCUGCGAGGGUGCCAAUGUCCGCCGACGCGCGUGCGCAGCGGCGCCCUCGCAUCCUUCUGUUACCACCUCUCGGCAUUCACUUGCCGGUGGUCGGCUCAGAGAAUUUACCUUGAGAAAAUUAGAGUGUUUCAGGCAGGCUAGGCCGGAAUACAUUAGCAUGGAAUAAUGGAAUAGGACUACGGUCUCGUUGUUGGUUUGAGGGACUGCAGUAAUGCUUAAUAGGGAUAGUUGGGGGCAUUAGUAUUUAAUUGUCAGAGGUGAAAUUCUCAGAUUUGUUAAAGACUAACUUAUGCGAAAGCAUUUGCCAAGGAUGUUU